rnacentral:rRNA from 1 species
GAUGAACGCUGGCGGCGUGCCUAAUACAUGCAAGUCGAGCGAACAGACGAGGAGCUUGCUCCUCUGACGUUAGCGGCGGACGGGUGAGUAACACGUGGAUAACCUACCUAUAAGACUGGGAUAACUUCGGGAAACCGGAGCUAAUACCGGAUAAUAUAUUGAACCGCAUGGUUCAAUAGUGAAAGACGGUUUUGCUGUCACUUAUAGAUGGAUCCGCGCCGCAUUAGCUAGUUGGUAAGGUAACGGCUUACCAAGGCGACGAUGCGUAGCCGACCUGAGAGGGGGAUCGGCCAAGCGGGAAAUGAGACGCGUCCCAGACACCGAGGGGAGGCAGAAGGGGGGAAGCAUCCGGAAAGGGCGAAAGCUUGACGGAGCAACGGCGGGGGGGUGAAGAAGGGUUGCGGUUUGAAAAACUUUUUUAUGAGGGAAAAAAAAAUGUGAAAGUAACGAAGCGGGCUUUGACGGGACCAAGACAAAAACCCCGGCCAACCUACUG